rnacentral:rRNA from 1 species
AGUUUGAUCCUGGCUCAGGAUGAACGCUGGCGGCACGCCUAACACAUGCAAGUCGAACGGAGUUUAUGGGAGCUUGCUCCUAUAAACUUAGUGGCGGACGGGUGAGUAACACGUGAGCAACCUGCCUUUCAGAGAGGAAUAGCUUCUGGAAACGGAUGGUAAUACCUCAUAACAUACGGAUUCGGCAUCGUUUCUGUAUCAAAGAUUUAUCGCUGAAAGAUGGGCUCGCGUCUGAUUAGCUGGUUGGUGAGGUAACGGCCCACCAAGGCAACGAUCAGUAGCCGGACUGAGAGGUUGAACGGCCACAUUGGGACUGAGACACGGCCCAGACUCCUACGGGAGGCAGCAGUGGGGAAUAUUGCACAAUGGGCGCAAGCCUGAUGCAGCGAUGCCGCGUGAGGGAAGAAGGUUUUCGGAUUGUAAACAUCUGUCCUAUGGGACGAAGGAAGUGACGGUACCAUAGGAGGAAGCCCCGGCUAACUACGUGCC